UACACACCGCCCGUCAAACCAUGGGAGUUGGAUUCACUCGAAGGCGUUGAGCUAACCCGCAAGGGAGGCAGGCGACCACAGUGGGUUUAGCGACUGGGGUG
rnacentral:rRNA from 1 species